AGUCACCUUUGGAGAGCAGAAAAGGCUGGAGAAUCAGACAUCAAUGACCUGCCCUUGCCCUGGGCCCCCCACACCCUUCCUGAGGGAAAAGGGAGGUACCUGUCAUGCUGAGCCCCAUGGGGGACACCUCUGCUCUACUCUGCCGUGACUGUUAGGCCUUGGUAGGGCAGGGCCCGAGACCCCUCUACACCCAAUUCCAUCAGAGACACAGACUAAGGAGAAAAAAGGGACCCUGAAUUAGAAUGCAGGGGUUUGGGGGUUCAAUGACAGAGUGGCCUGUGUUCUCUCUUACCACUUUCUGACCAGGGGAAGGCAGUCAUGGAUGGGAUAAGCUCUCUGAAUGGCACCUGUCCCGGGGGCAGGAGCAGGUGGGCUGGUAGAGACAGGACUGCCCAGAUGUCUGCCCCUCCCUGGGCCCUCUGGGGGCUGCUGCAGGUGUAACAGCCUCUCCUCUUUCUGCCCUUCCAUUGCAAGACUGUGUGCCCACCAGAAGGCCCCACCUGGAGCAUGCAAUCUGGACUUGGCCAAGCCACCUCUUCCCAGAGGGACUUCAAAGCAUAAGGUCAAAGCGUCCCCUCUUUAUAUUCUGUGACCUGCAAGCCCCAGCUGGCUAGCAUUUUCCUUCUUCUUUGCUCCGGAGUGUUGGGAGUGAGGCCACUGGCCAGAAGACCUGGCUGACUUGUCCAAGGAAAAAUGAAUCAACCCUCGGCCCUGACAGAGGAGCAUUACAGGAGGCUUGGCAGGAUAGAUCAUCAGCAUCCUAGAAAUGCCAGCCUGUGUCAGUCCUGCUGUGGCCCUGGGCAGCUGGGGAUAGCUCCAGAGAAACAGCAUUCCCCACCUUCCAAAAGCCAGGUGGGACUAAGAAUGGAAUCUACUUCCCGGGGUCGUUGCGACUCAAGGGAGAUCACGCAGGUGGAAGCGUUGCCUGGCAGGAAGGGCUCCAUCAGUACUGAUCAGUGAUUUGAAAUCGCCAGGAGAAGUAACGGACAUUCCUGGCGUCAGGCAUCACAGAAGAGGUGAGCCCGCAGGCAGGCAUCCAGGACCCACUAAAUGAGAUUCACAAAGGUGUGGGACUCCUCAAUUCUUCUGAGUCUCCUUGAGUCGAUUUUGGCAAUUAGUAUUUCUUAAAAUGUGCAUUUUCUAUUUUUUCUUGAUUUGCCAAAAGUUUUAUUGAUCUUUUCAAAGAAUCUCCCUUUGGAUUUAUUCAUCAAGUCUUUGAUGACUGUUAUUUUAAUUUGGUUUCAAUGUUGAUGAAUGAUCGAUGCAAAACAUCCUGUGUGACUCUUAUACCAGAAUUCAGACUGAAAAUUCUUAUGAAUUCCAUUUCCUCUGAAUGCCCGUUUUCCUUUUUUCCUUUGUUCCUUGUCUAGACAUAAGCCCCAUUUGUCUAGACAUAAGCUGAAUUUAUGACCCAGGACCUUCAUUCUUAGGUAUUUAAACAACAGCGCUUAUGCAUACCUUCAGCAAAGGCACGUUCAAAAGCAUUAUUACACUGUUUGUAGUAAUUCCAAACUAGGAAGAAACCCAAGUAUUUAUCAGUUGUUGAGUGAAUAAAUUGUCACGCAUCAUACAGUGGGUGACAGAGAUGACACAAUGAAUGGCAGCCACGUGCACCAACGUGGAUGAAACUCACAAACCUAAGACUGAGUGAAGAAACCAGACGCCUAAGAAUGCAGUGUGUGAUUUUAUUUACAUAGAUUUUAGAAACAUAUAAAACGAAACUGUGGUUCUAAAAUCACGUGAUGAUCUAGAAUCAGGUGAUGAUUACCCUGGCGGGUGGUUAAGUGACUGCAAGAGGAUGUAGGGUGGGGCUUCGGGGGAGGGGCUUCAGGUCGUGUUCUGUUGCUUGAUCUGGGUGCUGGUAACACAAGUACAUUCACUUUGAGAUGGACCCCAUUUAUUUGAACACGUGCUAUACUUCAAUACAAAGUUUACUUUAAAACACGGGGUGUCCGUGGACUCGGGAUCUUACCAAAAUUGUACGCAAAUUCUGCAUGUAUGUAUAAAUACAUGUUUUUCUGGAGAGAGGAUCCAUGGCUUUCACCAGCUCUCAAAACACUGAGUUCUUGGCUUGAGGUUCCCUCUAGCCUUAUGCUCAUCCCCAUCUCGCUUUAUGAUUCUUCUCUACUGUCCUCCAGUUGUGUCUUUCCUUCUCUCCAAAACCUUUCCCCGGAGCCCUUGGGUAUUGUCCCUCUCUAAAACACACACAUUUCUUUGUUUUCCUUAUUUAUCUAUAGAAUAUUUUCUCUAUCUCCCACCUUAUCUAAACUGGACCCUUCUCUAGGACAGUCCUUCCCCUACUGUUUUCCCGAGUAAAGACACCGAAUGUCCAGGUUAGGCGACCGCUGUUGACAUUCUCUUCCCUCCCCAAGGCCUCCAGCCCACCAGUUCUCCACCGUUGGGUGGAGCAGAUUCUUGCUUGUUUUGAAGUUUCAAACCUUUGUUAUUGCCAUUACUUACUGACCUCUGGUUGCUCAUUUUCAUUUAAGAUUUAAGAUCUGGGCACCCAACUCACAUCUUUCCUCUCCAAUCCCACUGUCAUCCCACAUGACUUUAGAAUCCAUGAGGGACGAUCAGCCAACAUCCCAACUUCCUAGUUCCUUUAUCUCCUCAAGUCCAAAGAUUGUCACCCUUACUUCUACCUCACUGACUCCUCUAAACUUCAAGCCCCAUCCUCAACUCCAUCUCUUUCAUGCUUAGCAGAUAAUCUUACCUUUUACUUAAGAAAUCUGAGAACACUGGAGCAUCUGGCCGGCUCCGUAGGCAGAGCAUGUGACUUUUGAUCUCAAGGUUGUAAGUUUGAGCCCCAUGUUGGGUGUAGAGAUUACUUAAAAAUAUAAAAUCUUAAGAAAAAAAGUAAUCUGAGACCAUUAAGUUUAAUCUCCCAUAAUGUCUACUUUGUAGUUAGAGGGAAAGAAUCACUACUCCUGUUUCUAAUCAACUCCUCUGACAAUUUGGCAAAAUAAUGACUUUAUUGAGAAUUUACCAUGUAUUACAUGUACUAUCUCAUUUAAUUCUUUUUUAAAAAUAUUUUAUUUAUUUGACAGAGAAAGACACAGUGAGUGAGGAAACACAAGCAAGGGGAGUGGGAGAGGGAGAAGCAGUUUCCCCACUGAGCAGGGAUCCCGAUGCAGGGCUCAAUCUCAGGACCCUAGGAUCAUGACCUGAGCUAAAGGCAGCUGCCCAACGACUGAGCCACCCAGGUAUCCCUCACUUAAUACUUUUUUUUUUUUUUUUAAAGAUUUUAUUUAUUUAUUUCACACAGACAGAGAUCACAAGCAGGCAGAGAGGCAGGUAGAGAGAGAGAGAGGAGGAAGCAGACUCCCUGCGAGCAGAGAACCCGAUGUGGGGCUCGAUCCCAGGACCCUGAGAUUAUGACCAGAGCUGAAGGCAGAGGCUUUAACCCACUGAGCCACCCAGGCGCCCCUCCCUCACUUAAUUCUUUUUUUUUUUUUUUUAAAGAUUUUUAUUUAUUUAUCAGAGAGAGAGAGGGGGAGAGAGUGAGCACAGGCAGACAGAAUGGCAGGCAGAGGCAGAGGGAUAAGCAGGCUCCCUGCUGAGCAAGGAGCCCGAUGUGGGACUCGAUCCCAGGACGCUGGGAUCAUGACCUGAGCCGAAGUGCAGCUGCUUAACCAACUGAGCCACCCAGGCGUCCCCCUCACUUAAUUCUUGUAACAACUCCAUAAGGUGCUAUAAUUAUGACCGUUCCCAUCUUAAAGACGAGGAAACAGACACAAAGACUUGCCCAUGGAGAGGCUGGGAUUUAAGCAGUGUAAAGCUCUUUGCUCUCAGCCGUGGUAUUCUACUUCUCCUAAUAUAAACUGAAACUACAUACGUAUCUUUAGAACCAAUAAUUCCAACUCUAGGAAUUUAUCCUGAAUGUGUCACAGAGUUCAAUGUACAAAACUAAUCAUUUCAUGUUUAUAACUGCCAGCAAUACAAGCCCCAUCAAUAGGAGAUCAGAAUAAAGUAUAGUUAGAAAAAGGAAGAAAUGUGCUUAUUAUUGGAAGAUUUCCAAAAUAUAUUGGUAGGUAAAAGAAGUAGAAAUAAGAAUAUUAUGUGGGUUGCCUCGGUGACUCAGUCAUUGGGCAUCUGUCUUCGGUUCAGGUCAUGAUCUGAGUCCUGGGAUCAAGCCCCGCAUUGGGCUCUGUGCUCGGCAGGAAGCCUGCUGCUCCGUCUCCCACUCCCCCUGCUUGUGUUCCCUCUCUCACUUGUGUCUCUCUCUCUGUCAAACAAAUAAGUAAAUCUUUUAAAAAGGAAAAGAAGUAAGAAUAGCUUGUAUUGAAUGCUUCCAUUUCUGUAAAAAAAAGAAGAAUAUAUGUGCUGUUUUGGUUUAUAUGCAUAAAACAUCUCUGGAAGGGUAGACUGCAAUGUUAAAUCAAUAAUAUAAGUUUCCACCUUAGGACUACAGAAGGAAAAUCAGCAUAAACCUAAAGCAAAUAGAAGAAUAUAAAUUAUCAAAAUUAAAGCAGAAGUCAAUGAAAUUUCAAACAGGUAAACAACAGAGGAAAUUAAUAAAACCUGAAGUUGGUUCUUCAAUAAAUCGAUAAAGUUGACAAACCUCAAGCCAGGCAAACCUGGCUUUUUUUUUCUAGGAUAGAAGACAUAAAUAGCUAAUAUCAGAAAUGAAAGAGGCACUAUCAGUACUGAUCCCAUGGACAUUAAAAGAAGAGUAAAGGAAUACUAUAGGCAACUUUAUGCCCACAAAUUUUGAUAUCUUAGAUGAAAUGGACCAAUUUCUUGAAAACAUAAUCUGUCAAAACUCACACAAGAUAGUCUGAAUAGGUCUGUAUCUAUUAAAGUAAUUGAAUCAAUAAUGAGAAAUGCUUUAAAACAGGCCAGAUGGCUUCAUUGUUGAAUUCUACCAAACACGUAAGGAGAAAAAAUUACACCAAUUCUCAACAAUCUCUUACAAAAUACAGAAGCAGAAGGAACACUUCCUCAUUCAUUCUAUGUGGCCAGAAUUUCCUUAAUACCAAAACCAGAUAGACGUUACAAGAGGGGCACCUAGGUGGCUCGGUCCAUUAAGUAUCUGCCUUCAACUUGGGUCAUGAUCUCAGGGUCCUGGGAUUGAGCCCCAUGUCAGACUCCCUGCUUAGCAAGGAGUCUAAUUCUCCCUCUCCUGCUGCUCCUCUCCCCACUUGUGUGUGCCCUCUCUCUCAAAUAAAUAAAUAAAAUCCUUAAAAAAAGACAUUACAAAAAGGAAGGCCAAUAUCUUUCAUGAAUACACACAUAAAAAUCCUCAACAAAAUAUCAGCAACUUAAAUCUAACAAUAUAUCAAAAGAAUUAUGUAUCAAGACCAAGUGGGAUUUAUCUCUGGUAUUCAUUAGAAAACCGGUCAAUAUAAUCUUCACAUCAACAGGCUGAAAAAGAAAGAUCAUAUAUGCAGAAAAUCAUUUGACAAAAUCCAACAUCUAUUCACAAUAAGAACUCUAAGCAAACUAGGAAUGGAGAGGAACUUCCCCAGAUUCAUAAAGAACAACUACAAGAACCCUAUGGUUAAUAUAAUAUUUAUAUUAGUGGUGAGAAACUAGAUGAUUUGCCCCUGAAGUGGGAAAAAGGCAAGGAUGUCCUCUCUCACCACUUCUACUCAACAUAGAUCUGGAAGUCUUAGCUAUGCAAUAAAACAAAAUAAACAGUAUACAGAUAGGGAAGGAAGAAAUAAAACUGCCUUUGUUAGCAGAUGAUGUGAUUAUAUAGAAAAUCCCAAAGAAUUAACAAAAAAGCCCUCUGGCAACUAAUAAGCCAUUAUAACAAAGUUGCAGGAUGCAAGUUUUUAAUAUACAAAAAUCAAUUGCUCCCUAUAUGUCAGCAAUGAAGAAUUGGAAAUUUGAAAUUUAAAGCACAAUACCAUUUAUAUUAACAAAAAAAACCCUAAGUAUUUAGGAAUAAAAUGUAUUAUGCACAUAUAAUAAAAUAUUAUAUUUUAUUGAUAAAAAUGACAACUAUGACAAAACAAAUUUUAAAAUACCUAAAUUAGGGGCGCCUGGGUGGCUCAGUGGGUUAAAAUAUCUAAAUUAGUGGACAGACAUGCCAUGUUCAUGGAUAGGAAAGAUCAGUAUUAUAAGAUGUCAGUUCUUCCCAAUUUGAUUUAUAGAUUCAGUGUAAUCCUAAUCAAAAUCAUAGCAAGUUAUUUUGUAGGUGUUAAAAAACUAAUUCUCAAGUUUACAUAGAAAGGUAAUGGAGGGGGACCUGGCUGGCUUUGUUGGUAGAGUAUGUGACUCUCUGUCUUGGGGUUGCGGGUUUGAGCCCCAUGUUGGGUGUAGAGAUUACUUAAAAAUAAAAUCUUUUAAAAAACGGAAAAGCAAAAGACCCAGAAUUGCCAACACAAUACAGAAGAACAAAGUUGGAGGACUGACACUACCUGAUAUAAGACUUACUGUAAAGCUGCAAUGAUCAAGACAGUGCAUUACUGGGAAAAACAGACAAAUGGAUCACUGGAACAGAAUAGAGAGCCCAGAAAUAGAGACGAAUGAAAAUAGUUAACUGAUCUUGGGACGCCUGGGUGGCUCAGUUCGUUAAGUGGCUGCCUUCGGCUCAGGUCAUGAUCUUAGUGUCCUGGGAUUGAGUCCCACAUCGGGCUCCUUGUUCCGUAGGGAGCCUGCUUCUCCCUCUGCCACUCUGUCUGCCUGUGUGUUUGCUCUCUCUCUCUCUCUCUCUGACAAAUAAAUAAAUAAAAUAUUUUAAAAAAUUAGUUAACUGAUCUUUGACAAAGUGGCAGAGGCAAUUGAAUGGAGAAAGGCUAGUUCCCUUAACAAAUGAUGCUGGAACAAUGACAUCCUUAUGAGGAAGGAAAGAAGGAAGGAAGGAGGCAGGGAAGGAAGGAAGGAAAGAAAGAAAGGAAAACAUUACACAAUAGACCUUACACCUUCCACAGAAGUUAUUAUCAAAAAGUGGAUCAUAGACCUAAAUGUAAAACACAAAACUAUAAAACUGAUAGAAGGUAACAUAAGAGAAAAUUCAGGGACCUUCAGUUUAGUGAUGACUUUUUAGAUACACACUCUAAGCAUAAUCCAUAAAAGAAAAAAAAAAGAUAAGUUGGACUCUCUUAAAAUUCAAAACCACAUCAUGAAAGUCACUGUUAGAAAAAUGAAACAAGCCACAGACUGGGAGACAGUAUUUGCAAAACGUAUAUUUGAUAAAAGAUUACUAUACAAAAUAUGCAAAGAACUCUGAAACCCAACAAUAAGAAAACAACCCGAUUUAAAAAUGGGCAACAGAUCUGAACAGACAUCUCACCAUAGAUGAUACAUGGAUGAUAAAUAAGCAUAUGAAAAGAUACUUAAUGUCAUAUAUAAUUAGGGAAUUGCAAAUUACAACAACGGUGAGACCCACUACACAUGUAUUCGAAGGGCUAAUAUCCCCAAAACUGACAAUACCAGAUACUGACCAAUGUGGAGUAACAGGAACUCUUAUUUGUAGCUUGUGGGAAGGCAACCACUUUGAAACAGUUCGGCAGUUUCUUGCAAAACUAAACACUCUUAUCAUUUUAUACACAUUAGAAUGGCUAUUAUAUUUUUUAAAACCCCAGAAAAUAACAAGUAUUGGUGAAAGCACAGAGAAAUUGGAAACAUCAUUCAUUGCUGGUGGUGAUGUAAAAUGGUGCAGCUUCUGUGGAAAAGUAUGAUUGUUUCUCAAAAUGUGAAACAUAGAAUUACUGUCUGAGCUAGCAUUUCUAUACCUACAUAUAUGUCCAGAAGAAUUGACAAGAGGAACUCAAAUAGAUACUUGUACACCAAUGUUCAUAGCAGCAUUAUUCACAAUAGCCAAAAGGUGGAAUCAACCCAAGAGUCCACCAACAGAUGAAUGGAUGAACAAAAUGUGUUGUAUACACACAAAAUGGACUAUUACUCAGCCAUAAAAAAGAAUGAUGUUCUAAAACAUCCAUGUUGCGACAUGGAUUAACUGAAAAACUUUUGCUGAAUGAAAUAAGCUAGACACAGAAGGACAAAUAUUGUAUGAUUCCACUUGCAAGAGGCAUCUAGAAUAGAUAAAUUCAUAGUGACAUAAAUCAGAAUAGAGGGCUGGAGGGGAGGGGGAAAUAGGAAGUAAUUAUUUAAUAGGUACAGAGUCUGGGUACUUUUUCACUGGGACAGUCUAAUUGCAACAUAUGAAACAGAACUCAGAAGCUACACAAGAAAAUCUAUCAACCUUGAUGGAGCUGAAGUAUAGCGUCUCUGGGUGUCGUGACAAAUAUUUAUUGGUGUAUCUUGCACUUCUUCUUUAGGACUUUGGGAAGGGUCCCAUUAUUGGUAUGUUGUUUUUCAAGUUGACUGUACUAGUGAUAGCUUGGGGAAACUAAAUUGUAACAUUAGUGUGAUGAUCGUCUCUAGAAAAGCCCAGACUCAAGCAAGUUAUUAUUACUGGUAAGGGGAACAUACUAAGUCAUAAAUACAGCCCCUGACAUUAGGGGCACCUGGGCAACUGAGCCACCCAGGUGCCCCAGAAUUAUGUUUAACAGCAAAAAUAUUUAUCAAACAAUAUACCACCAAACAAAAGGUCUUAUAACCUUGUACAAAGACCUAGAUUUCAUAAGUAAAUGGUGAACCUCCAGACCGAAAGGUCUAAUUACUUAAUACAAAGAUCCAGGCCUCGUGAUCUUAUACAGGUCCAGCAAGUGCACCUGUUGAACUAAGGAUCCCUGGAAUGCUGCCAACGAAGGUCUUCAAAAUGAUCUCGCUGGAACCUCUAGAAUUAUCAAAAACAGUAAGACUAUAGGUCAAUAUAUGACAUAUAAAGACAAAACUGAAUUUGCUUAUUAUAAUAAAGGCAAGCAGGAAGUUUCUCUAAGCCGAACAGGCUGCUUAUCAUAACAGAGUUUUGGGGAAGUAUAAACUUCAGGGGUUGAUGGACAUAAGAAGGUUGAUAUUAUCUAUAGAAGUGUUACUUGGGUGAGACUGUUGUUGAUUGGUUGGCCUUCUUAGGGGUAAUUUUGGCAUGGAUUGGUUCCUGGAUGACUGACUUUUCAGUAGUGACCCUGAUUGCUUGAUUUGUAGAAGGGAUUAACUGAGGUUGGUUGUCAAUAACUGAUUGAACAGAUUUCAAACAAGUUCUGGUGGUAUAUUAGUCUAUUUCUGUAUAAUGAUAUUACCACAAACGGUGGCUUGAAACUACACACAUUUAUAGGGCGCCUGGGUGGCUCAGUGGGUUAAAGCCUCUGACUUCGGCUCAAGUCAUGGGAUCAAGCCCCGCAUCAGGCUCUCUGCUCAGCAGGGAGCCUGCUUCCUCCUUGCACUCUCUCUGCCUGCCUCUCCACCUACUUGGGAUCUCUCUCUCUCUCUGUCAAAUAAAUAAAAUCUUAAAAGAAAAAACAGAAAAAACUCACACAUUUAUAGUUCCUAUGAGUCAGGAAUCCAACUACAAUUUUUCUGGGCCACCUACUUAGGGUUUCACAAGGCUGCUGCCAUCAGGGUGUGAACCAGGGCUGGGUUCUCAUCUGGAGGCUCAACUGGGUAAGGAUCUAUUUCCCCCACUUGCCUGGCUGUUAGUAGUAUUCAGUUCCUUUAGGCUGUUUGAUUGAAUGCUUCUUAUUUAUUUAUUGCUGGCUGUCAGUUGGAGGCUCAUUUCUCAGUGACCAGAAGCAGCUCCUUGGCAUGUGGAGUUCUCCAACAUGGCCCCUUGCUUCUUCGAAGCCAGGAAAGGGGAAAGAGACUUCAGCAAGAUGGGCCCGUGUUCUCUGUAAUCACAUAACUAUGUAUACACAAUCAUGUAUCUCCCAUCACCUGUAAAUAUUCUAUUGGUUAGAAUCAAGACACAGGUCCUGCCCACAUGUAAGAGAAAGGGAUCCCACAAGCAUAUGAACACCAUAAGAUGGGGAUCACGGGGGCUACCCUUCAGUGGCCAGUCGGUCUACAACAGGUGGCUACCUGUUACCAUGGCUACAUAACAGUCUUUUCCUAAAUUUGUGGGGGUGGAGCAACUGGAGUCCCCCACACUGUUACCAGGAACACAAAAUGAUAAAAAUUUUGGGAAACGGUUUGGCAGGGUUUUUUUUUUUGUUUUUUUUUGUUUUUUUUUUAAAGAUUGUAUUUAUUUGUUUGAGAGAGAGAGACAGAGUAUGAGUAGGGGGACAGACAAAGGGAGAGGGAGAAGCAGGGAGCAGGGAGUCUGACACAGGGCUGAGCAGGGAGUCUGACACAGGGCUUGAUCCCAGGACUCUGGGAUCAUGACCUGAGCCAAAGGCAGACAUUCAACUGACUGAGUCACCCAAGUGCCCCGGCAGUUAUUUAUUU